rnacentral:rRNA from 1 species
AGAGUUUGAUCCUGGCUCAGAUUGAACGCUGGCGGCAUGCUUUACACAUGCAAGUCGAACGGGGUGGGGGGCAACCCUCAUUCAGUGGCGAACGGGUGAGUAAUGCAUCGGAACGUAUCCCGUAGUGGGGGACAACGCCGCGAAAGCGGCGCUAAUACCGCAUAUGCUCUACGGAGGAAAGUGGGGGACCGCAAGGCCUCACGCUAUGGGAGCGGCCGAUGUCCGAUUAGCUAGUUGGUGGGGUAAUAGCCCACCAAGGCGACGAUCGGUAGCUGGUCUGAGAGGAUGAUCAGCCACACUGGGACUGAGACACGGCCCAGACUCCUACGGGAGGCAGCAGUGGGGAAUUUUGGACAAUGGGGGCAACCCUGAUCCAGCCAUGCCGCGUGCGGGAAGAAGGCCUUCGGGUUGUAAACCGCUUUUAGCCGGGAAGAAAAGGCAUCUCCUAAUACGGGGUGUUCUUGACGGUACCGGCGGAAUAAGCACCGGCUAACUACGUGCCAGCAGCCGCGGUAAUACGUAGGGUGCGAGCGUUAAUCGGAAUUACUGGGCGUAAAGCGUGCGCAGGCGGUUCGUUGUGUCUGAUGUGAAAGCCCCGGGCUCAACCUGGGAAUGGCAUUGGAAACUGGCGAGCUGGAGUGCGGCAGAGGGGGGUGGAAUUCCGCGUGUAGCAGUGAAAUGCGUAGAGAUGCGGAGGAACACCGAUGGCGAAGGCAGCCCCCUGGGCCGACACUGACGCUCAGGCACGAAAGCGUGGGGGAGCAAACAGGAUUAGAUACCCUGGUAGUCCACGCCCUAAA